rnacentral:rRNA from 1 species
UACGUAGGUGGCAAGCGUUGUCCGGAUUUACUGGGCGUAAAGCGAACGCAGGCGGAUGGUUAAGUCCAAAGUGAAAGGUAGGAGCUCAACUCCUACACUGCUUGGGAUACUGGCCGUCUUGAGUAGCGGAGAGGGAGAUGGAACGACACGUGUAGCGGUGAAAUGCGUUGAUAUGUGUCGGAACACCAAUGGCGAAAGCAAUCUCCUGGACGCAAACUGACGCUGAGGUUCGAAAGCCAAGGUAGCAAACAGG